rnacentral:misc_RNA from 1 species
AUCCUCUGCAGCAAUGCGAUUUGACUCUUGUCUUUGUUGACCGAGUUUAAUAGGAGCUAGUGGAUGGUCAGUUUGGACUAGCCCGAGUGCUAAGCAUUCUUGGGUCUGGGUGCUAAAUUGCCAUUUUAUCAAUUUUUU